UACGUAGGGGGCAAGCGUUGUCCGGAUUCACUGGGCGUAAAGAGCGUGUAGGCGGCCAGGUAGGUCGGUUGUGAAAACUGGAGGCUCAACCUUCAGAGGUCGACCGAAACCAUCUGGCUAGAGUCCGGGAGAGGAGAGUGGAAUUCCUGGUGUAGCGGUGAAAUGCGCAGAUAUCAGGAGGAACACCUAUUGCGAAGGCAGCUCGCUGGGACGUAACUGACGCUGAGACGCGAAAGCGUGGGGAGCAAACAGG
rnacentral:rRNA from 1 species